UGGAUAGCUCAGUUGGUAAAUCAUGAGACUCUUAAUCUCAGGUUUGUGGUUCAAGACCCAUGUGGGGCAA